rnacentral:rRNA from 1 species
UACAGAGGGUGCAAGCGUUGUUCGGAAUUACUGGGCGUAAAGGGCGCGUAGGCGGCCACCGCAAGUCGAUUGUGAAAUCUCCGGGCUUAACCCGGAAAGGUCAACCGAUACUGCGGGGCUAGAGUGCAGAAGGGGCAACUGGAAUUCUCGGUGUAGCGGUGAAAUGCGUAGAUAUCGAGAGGAACACCUGCGGCGAAGGCGGGUUGCUGGGCUGACACUGACGCUGAGGCGCGAAAGCUAGGGGAGCGAACGGG